AUUUGUUGAUGAUAAAUCAUCUGGGAAAGUCAAAAUGCGAAAUUUGCCUUUCACGGAACCUCAGAGAGAAAACAAAGCAACUGAUCAGAAAAUAUGCACGCUAAAAGAUCUAUUAGUUGAUCAUUAUUGUGGCCUUUCUCCGGUUGGGAUAGUCAGUCAGGAGCCGGCAAGAUGCUGCAUCUAGAUGCGGGCCGGCAGGAUGCCAAGAGAUGGUAUGCCGUCAUUGGAAAAAGCACACAUAGUUAAGGCUGAAGGCAAGAGCGAGAGGUUGCCGAUAAACAGUGAUGGUGGUCUUCGCUCGACGUCAGAAGAGAGAUCUACAAAGAAAGUUUCACCGAAGAUGACUUCGACAAGGAUCUUCCAACGCUCAAGUCGAUGAAGUGACUCAAUACA
rnacentral:lncRNA from 1 species